rnacentral:rRNA from 1 species
UACGUAGGGUGCAAGCGUUAAUCGGAAUUACUGGGCGUAAAGCGUGCGCAGGCGGUUUUGUAAGUCUGACGUGAAAUCCCCGGGCUUAACCUGGGAAUUGCGUUGGAGACUGCAAGGCUAGAAUCUGGCAGAGGGGGGUAGAAUUCCACGUGUAGCAGUGAAAUGCGUAGAGAUGCGGAGGAACACCGAUGGCGAAGGCAGCCCCCUGGGUUAACACUGACGCUCAGGCACGAAAGCGUGGGGAGCAAACAGG